rnacentral:rRNA from 1 species
AUUGAACGCUGGCGGCAGGCCUAACACAUGCAAGUCGGGCGAGCGGCGGACGGGUGAGUAAUGUAUGGGGAUCUGCCUGAUGGAGGGGGAUAACUACUGGAAACGGUAGCUAAUACCGCCUACCAUCAGUUUAACCCAUAUGGGAUUAGCUUGUGGGUGGGGUAACGGCUCACCUAGGCGGUGAUCCCUAACUGGUCUGAGAGGUGGACCAGCCAAACUGGAACGGAGACACGGUCCAGACUCCUACGGGAGGAAGCAGUGGGGAAUAUUGGACAAUGGGCGCAAGCCUGAUGCAGCCAUGCCGCGUGUGGAAAGAAGGCCUUCGGGUGGUAAAGCACUUUAAGCGAGGAGGCGUUACUCACAGAAGAAGCACCGGCUAACUCCGUGCCAGCAGCCGCGGUAAUAC